CCUACGGGAGGCAGCAGUAGGGAAUCUUGUGCAAUGGGCGAAAGCCUGACACAGCAACUCCGCGUGCGGGAAGAAGGCCUUAGGGUUGUAAACCGCUUUUGGCAGGAACGAAAAUGACGGUACCUGCAGAAUAAGGUGCGGCCAACUACGUGCCAGCAGCCGCGGUGACACGUAGGCACCAAGCGUUGUCCGGAUUUAUUGGGCGUAAAGAGCUCGUAGGCGGUUCAGUUAGUCGGGUGUGAAAACUCUGGGCUUAACCCGGAGACGCCACUCGAUACUGCUGGGCUAGAAUUCGGUAGGGGAGUGGGGAAUUCCUGGUGUAGCGGUGAAAUGCGCAGAUAUCAGGAGGAACACCGGUGGCGAAGGCGCCACUCUGGGCCGACAUUGACGCUGAGGAGCGAAAGCGUGGGUAGCAAACAGGAUUAGAUACCCUGGUAGUCCACGCCGUAAACGGUGGGCACUAGGUGUGGGUUCCAACCAACGGAAUCCGUGCCGUCGCAAACGCAUUAAGUGCCCCGCCUGGGGAGUACGGCCGCGAAGGUUAAACCUCAAAGGAAUUGACGGCUGGAGACGCGCGACGGACGACGACGAGGGAGAG
rnacentral:rRNA from 1 species